GGGACCUUCGGGCCUUGCGCUAUCAGAUGAGCCUAGGUCGGAUUAGCUAUUUGGUGGGGUAAUGGCUCACCAAGGCGACGAUCCGUAACUGGUCUGAGAGGAUGAUCAGUCACACUGGAACUGAGACACGGUCCAGACUCCUACGGGAGGCAGCAGUGGGGAAUAUUGGACAAUGGGCGAAAGCCUGAUCCAGCCAUGCCGCGUGUGUGAAGAAGGUCUUCUGAUUGUAAAGCACUUUAAGUUGGGAGGAAGGGCAGUAAAUUAAUACUUUGCUGUUUUGACGUUACCGACAGAAUAAGCACCGGCUAACUCUGUGCCAGC
rnacentral:rRNA from 1 species